AUGUUUUCAGCAUCCUGCCGCGUCUGGGUUAAGGUCAAAACUAUUAAAGUCAGUAAUGUUUCCUUGGGAGCAUAUGAACAAGACCUUAAGGAGUUCUUUUCCUUUUCUGGUGAUAUUGAAUAUGUUGAAAUGCAAAGUCAUGACGAACGAUCUCAAAUUGCCUUUGUCACUUUCAAGGACCCACAAGGUGCUGAGACUGCAGUACUACUAUCGACCCGCAUAUCUAGGUUCAAAAAUAGGGACCAAUGA